rnacentral:pre_miRNA from 7 species
ACCCUGGGGCUUUGCUCUGCUAAUGUACUGCUCUCCAUAUUGUGAAAGAACUCAGUGGGGAAACCCCCACUCAGCUCCCGAUUCGGCGUGCACCCAAGAAUCACGAAUAGAACA